rnacentral:lncRNA from 1 species
GUUCCAUCUGUUUUGCCUUUUCUGUUUCCUCCUCCAUCAUCCUUAAUUCUUCCUGUGCACACAAAUUACAAUCCAAGACUACGGAUUCCCUCUGUGAAGCCAUAAACAUGUCUGCUAUUGUUUCAUUGACACCCAGAGAUGCUGCCAAAACGUUUGCCUAAGGUCUUGAAAAUGGAAGUUUUUCCAACCAGAUAUUGAUGGCUAAUUUUCUUUUUUGUGGUACUAAAUGAAUACGGUGUUUUGAUGAUUUGUGGAGAAUUAGUGUUAAAACUUGUUGAAA